GUGUCAGCAGCCGCGGUAAUACGGAGGGUGCAAGCGUUAUCCGGAUUCACUGGGUUUAAAGGGUGUGUAGGCGGGCAUGUAAGUCAGUGGUGAAAUCUCCGGGCUCAACCUGGAAACUGCCAUUGAUACUAUAUGUCUUGAAUUUUGUUGAGGUUGGCGGAAUAAGUCAUGUAGCGGUGAAAUGCAUAGAUAUGACUUAGAACACCGAUUGCGAAGGCAGCUAACUAAGCAAAUAUUGACGCUGAGGCACGAAAGCGUGGGGAUCAAACAGGAUUAGAAACCCUGGUAGUCC
rnacentral:rRNA from 1 species